rnacentral:rRNA from 1 species
GAUGAACGCUGGCGGCGUGCCUAAUACAUGCAAGUCGAGCGAACAGAUGAGGAGCUUGCUCCUCUGACGUUAGCGGCGGACGGGUGAGUAACACGUGGAUAACCUACCUAUAAGACUGGGAUAACUUCGGGAAACCGGAGCUAAUACCGGAUAAUAUAUUGAACCGCAUGGUUCAAUAGUGAAAGACGGUUUUGCUGUCACUUAUAGAUUGAUCCGCGCCGCAUUAGCUAGUUGGUAAGGUAACGGCUUACCAAGGCAACGAUGCGUAGCCGACCUGAGAGGGUGGUCGGACACACUGGAACUGAGACACAGUCAAGACUCCUACGGGAGGCAGCAGUAGGGAAUCUUACGCAAUGGGCGAAAGCCUGACAGAGCAACGCCGCGUGAGUGAUGAAGGUCUUCGGAUCGUAAAACUCUGUUAUUAGGGAAGAACAAAUGUGUAAGUAACUAUGCACGUAUUGACGGUACCUGAUCAGAAAGCCACGGCUAACUACGUG